rnacentral:rRNA from 1 species
UACGAAGGGGGCUAGCGUUGCUCGGAAUCACUGGGCGUAAGCGCACGUAGGCGGCUUUCUAAGUCAGGGGUGAAAUCCUGGAGCUCAACUCCAGAACUGCCUUUGAUACUGGAGAGCUUGAGUCCGGAAGAGGUGAGUGGAACUCCGAGUGUAGAGGUGAAAUUCGUAGAUAUUCGGAAGAACACCAGUGGCGAAGGGCGGC